rnacentral:lncRNA from 1 species
CAAUCGCCACAUCGAUCUCGGGCACCGCGACGGCGACACGCGCGCGCCACAUGGCGUCCCCCGUCGACGAGGUCUGCACGGCAAGGCCGUCGCGCGCCUUGACACCCUCGACGCAAUGGUUGCACGUGACGAGAAAGCGCGGCGGCUGGUCGGGUCCGUCGUCGCGCUCCCACGGCAGGCGCACGAACCAGCCCGACCCGGCGAUGAGAUCGGUGCGCACCGGAUGCCACGGUUCGAGCGGGUUGUGCUCCAUGAUGGCGGCCUUGAUGCGUGCCACCGUGCCGACAGGCUUCUCGGGAAGCCGUCGCCGCGGUCCACGCGUCCAGGCGUCAUCGCCGUCGCGGUCGUCGUCGCUGUCGCUCAUGGCAAUCCUGUUCCUCUUUUCUUGAUCGGCCCUUCUGUCCCAAAGGGGGUUGGUCGAGUUGCUUUUUUUUUCCUGUCGCUGCCCUGACGGCGACUCGUAGGCAACAGCGAGACCGAGCAAAGAAGGAAAAAAGAGAGAGGCUGGAUACACGCACAGAUGGCCCGUGGUUCUUUCCCCAAUGCCGUCGGGGUCUGUGCGUCCGUCGCGGCGAGGCGAAAGCAUGGCAGGAGUCCAUGGGCGUGCACACGACCGCGCCAGCGCAAAUUGUGCGUAAAUCGGUCGCGCUGCACAGGCUCUUUCUCUGGCUUGACGGCCCCACCGCGCAGAGAUGACCCCCAUAAAAAAACAAUUUAAAGAGAAGCGGCGGCACCGAUGUGGUUGGACUCUUUUUUUUUAUUUUUGCGUAAAGCGGACCCGUGCCUGUGGCGAUUUGGGCAAGACACAAGCAGCGCCAACACGGCUUUGGCAUGUGCACACAUACACACAUAAAAAAAA